rnacentral:rRNA from 1 species
CCGGUGCUUAUUCUUCCGGUACCGUCAUCCCCCGGCAUAUUAGGACCAGGGAUUUCUUUCCGGACAAAAGUGCUUUACAACCCGAAGGCCUUCUUCACACACGCGGGAUUGCUGGAUCAGGCUUUCGCCCAUUGUCCAAAAUUCCCCACUGCUGCCUCCCGUAGGAGUCUGGGCCGUGUCUCAGUCCCAGUGUGGCUGGUCGUCCUCUCAGACCAGCUACGGAUCGUCGCCUUGGUGAGCCUUUACCUCACCAACUAGCUAAUCCGCCAUCGGCCGCCCCUAUAGCGCGAGGUCCGAAGAUCCCCCGCUUUCAUCCGUAGAUCGUAUGCGGUAUUAAUCCGGCUUUUCGGCGGGCUAUCCCCCACUACAGGACACGUUCCGAUGUAUUACUCAACCCGUUCGGCAACUCGACACCAGGGUGGAAGCACCCGUGCUGCCGUUCCGAUUUGGAUUUUUUAUGGAUGCGCAGCAAU